CCUACGGGCGGCAGCAGUGAGGAAUAUUGGUCAAUGGACGAGAGUCUGAACCAGCCAAGUAGCGUGAAGGAUGACUGCCCUAUGGGUUGUAAACUUCUUUUAUAUGGGAAUAAAACGUUCCACGUGUGGGAUUUUGUAUGUACCAUAUGAAUAAGGAUCGGCUAACUCCGUGCCAGCAGCCGCGGUAAUACGGAGGAUCCGAGCGUUAUCCGGAUUUAUUGGGUUUAAAGGGAGCGUAGGUGGAUUGUUAAGUCAGUUGUGAAAGUUUGCGGAUCAACCGUAAAAUUGCAGUUGAAACUGGGAGUCUUGAGGACAGUAGAGGUGGGCGGAAUUGGUGGUGUAGCGGGGAAAUGAUUAGAUACCACGAAGAACUCCGAUUGCGAAGGAAGUUCACUGGACUGCAACUGACACUGAGGCUCGAAAGUGUGGGUAUCAAACAGGAUUAGAUACCCUGUAGUC
rnacentral:rRNA from 1 species